GAUGAAGAACGUAGCGAAAUGCGAUAAGUAAUGUGAAUUGCAGAAUUCAGUGAAUCAUCGAAUCUUUGAACGCACAUUGCGCCCGCCAGUAUUCUGGCGGGCAUGCCUGUUCGAGCGUCAUUACAACCCUCAGGCCCCCGGGCCUGGCGUUGGGGAUCGGCGGAGCCCCCCGUGGGCACACGCCGUCCCCCAAAUGCAGUGGCGGACCCGCCGCAGCUUCCAUCGCGUAGUAGCUAACACCUCGCGACUGGAGAGCGGCGCGGCCACGCCGUAAAACACCCAACUCUUCUGAAGUUGACCUCGAAUCAGGUAGGAAUACCCGCUGAACUUAAGCAUAUCAUAAGCGGAGGA
rnacentral:misc_RNA from 1 species